rnacentral:tRNA from 1 species
GCCUAGGUGGCUCAGUCGGUUAAGCGUCUGACUUCAGCUCAGGUCAUGAUCUCACAGUGCGUGGGUUCUAGCCCCGCAUCAGGCU